UUUUAAAAGCCGUCCAUUCUCCCAGAGUCAUUUGCAGGACUUGCCUGAGGUCUUUGGGGUCACCGAAGAGGAUCGUUCUGCCAUCUAUGAAAUUUUUCCUUACCGUUUCAAGGGUGUUACACUUUCAACAUUGCAGAUGUUGCAUGCCAAAGUGGGAUAAAUGGGAACGCAUUCAAAAGAGAAGGCUGUCUGGAUGGAUUGUAAUAUUGGCACACCUGGUGUGAUGUAUGGACGCUGGAUUCCACUUCCAGAUUCAUUACUCUCGUGAGCAGUGGGAGCCCAGUGUGUUGAUGGAAAUACGCUCCCUUGAGCCUGAACGUGCAAGUGAUGUCCAUUAUGAUGCUGGUCGGCUUCCUGGCAGCGGCUUGGACUGGAGUGUGCUGCACAAUUUUCAAACCACUAAACAAGUCAAAGUUGGUGAUCAAGACCCCUCUGAUCUUCCUUCUCUCCAAGAUUUCUAUGAAGUGUAUAAAAGAGCACAAUCUCCUUCUGAAACAUAUGCAUUAGUUCCAGCUGCUGACUGACUUGAUGAUGAGAUUCUUCACCAACAUAAAGGUCUCAAUCUUCCAUCCGCCCGCUGUGAGACAGCCAACCCACCCCGAGGAGAGACAGACAGCUCCACUCAGGCAUAGAUCUGAGCUCACCGUGGCCGCAGAAUGUGCGGUGAUUAGAGUAAUGUGGGUUUUUUCUGAGCCCAUCGGCAGCCGUGGCAGGUCGGGGAGCAGAACAGGCAGAUAAGAGCCAGCGGUGAGGAGUUUUAAUUAAAUAACGGGACAUUAUACGGCUGGAUUAUCCGAGUCUCUAGCGUGAGGACGCAGAGCUGUAGGACGACCGGACAAUGGGAAUGCUGAGCAGAGCAAGACUGGACAUGGGCCAAAAGAGGACAGGGAGAGAGACAGAGAGACAGGAGAAAAGGCUGAAAUCCAGCGGUUGUGUAUGUGUGGGUGCAACAGACAGUGAAAGCGAAGACACAAACCACAUACGUGCCGUGAACCUCACCACAUACACACAUACUGAACCGAGCUGGUGCAGCAGAGCUCUAAUGAGGCUGAACAGAAGAUCUGGACUUGAGGUUAAAUCAAUGAUGUGUGUGUCUGAGCCACCGACACACUAAAUGCCAGUUACUGCACGCACACACAUAUACACACAGGUGAAAUAAUUAGCCUCACUGCUCCACACCGUUAUCAAAGAAAUGGCAUCAUUACAUGACCACUCUUUUUUUCCCUCAAUCGCCCCCUACUGUUCCCAUUCCUGCUGCUAGACAAACAGAAGUCCAGCCCUCACCAGGGUUUGGACAAGAGUUUACUUCAUUUACAUUUUUACCAUGCUUUCUCAUCGAAAGGACUUAAUAAGAUGCACAAGUCACAACAAUACCACCAGGACAGGUAGCUGAGAAUGCAAAACAGUGCCUCGAACAGCAAGAAGCAGCUCAUGUAGCAAGUGUAAAUACAUUGAACUUCUAAUCCCGUUGCCAAUAAAUGAAUACAAAGCUGGGCUGCUACUGUACAAGUGCUGACUUAGAAGAUACAAAUGAGUCCCUAAAGACAAGUAAAGACAAUGAAAGCAAGGCAUUUGCAAUGCAAGUAUGGAGGUGAUUACAUUUUAUUAACAAUACUGGGCUGGACAACAUCAGUGGUGUGUUAGGGGCUGUUCCAACACAAUCUCAUGAGAAAACAUGUCUAUUUUAUAAGCUGGCCAUUUCUUUUGAAUCUGUGCCAUGUGAUUCAUACAGAAAUGUAAGAGUUUUAAGAAAAAACAUAAGCAUGAAGGUUCACCCCUAAAACCUAUCCAUCAGUGGUGCGUAGGCAGAUGGUACGAAAAUGUACAAAUUCAUAUGAAUUAGCCACCAAUUAAAUUAUAAUUACAAACUGCCAUCGGCUGUUCUCACAGAACAUUUUUUGCAUUCUACUGAGCUUCUUGUCCAUUGUUUUUCAAUGUAAAAAUGCACUACAUGGACAUGUUUGACAUCUUUUGUAACAUCUGGUACAUGAUACAGCAUUCUAUAAACACAGGGCUCAAGUUAAAAGUUCAGCUUUUAAAGCGAAAGUGACAUGUCAAGGUCAAGUAUGGAAACCCUUACUCUAAAUCUGUCCUCUGCAUUUAACCCAUCCAAGCUAGUGCACACAUAUUAGGAGUAGUGAGUAGUGAACACACACACACUUACUGCAAACCGUGGACACGCACACCCGGAGCAGUGGGCAGUCAUUUUUGCUGUGGCGCUUGGGGAGUGAUUGGCAGUUAGGUACCUUGCUCAAAGGCACCUCAGUCAUUCCCUGCCGGUAUUGAGAAUCAAAACCACAACCAUCAGGUUAUCAGUCUGACUCUCUAACCAUUAGGUCACAACUGCCCCUAAAAGUUUCAUUCAGCUGCCCUGCAUUUCAUGUUUUUGCAUUGAAAAAAUGGAAAUGGAAAAAAACCCAGCAAGGUCUCGAGACGCUUUUUUUAAAAGUUGAACAGCUCCAUGUAAACUGGAAGGAUGCCAG